UACGUAGGGGGGCAAGCGUUGUCCGGAAUCAUUGGGCGUAAAGCGCGUGUAGGCGGCUCGAUAAGUCUGCUGUGAAAGUCCAGGGCUCAACCCUGGGAUGCCGGUGGAUACUGUCGAGCUCGAGUCCGGAAGAGGCGAGUGGAAUUCCUGGUGUAGCGGUGAAAUGCGCAGAUAUCGGGAAGAACACCCGUGGCGAAAGGCGGCUCUCUGGGGACGGUAC
rnacentral:rRNA from 1 species